rnacentral:misc_RNA from 1 species
GAGGCGAAGUCCUCACUCCAAAGUUGGUGAAAAAUGACAUUCGCGAACAAGAUCGGGACUCUGCUGAAGCGCGCCGCCGCAUCCAACGCGGUUAGCCCGGCGUCGGUGUUCCCGGCGAUCCGAUGCAUGUCAUCGUCGAAGCUUGUCACCGGAGGGGUGACCUAUAAUACUCAUGAUAUGAGUAUGAAAAAGUUGUUCAGUAGCUUUGGUGAAUUCCUUGGAGCUGGGAAUAUCAUGGAUCAAGAGAUGGGUAGAUCGCGAGGCUUUCCUUCUCUGUCUUUCAAUUCUGGCGGAGGGGCUUCCACAGCAAGAACUGCCAUGGAUGGGGAGGGAAAAAUGAGGGCUAUGACUGAUAGGUUUGGAUUUGGGUCUGGACUUGAUGGAGACCUAUCUUCACAGAAAAAGACUAGCGAUUUUGUCCAUAUCUUGUUGAAAUCGAGGAAGAAGACCUUUGUGACAGUGACAGAUGCUAAGGGGAACAAGAAAACCG